ensembl:lncRNA
GCCAGAGAGAGCAUGUCUGCUAGAAUUGCAGACAGCUCACUGAGGAUGGUAACUUGGAAGGCAUCUUUCCAGAUGGCAGUCCACGUUUGACUGGCAGAGGGUUUUGUAUGUUCAGUUGAUGGUGACAUUACACAGACCGGGAACUCUUCAUACAGCAACAUUAUCUUUAUGGCUGUUUUGUUCUUUAGUGUUUCAUAGCCAACUUCAUGUCAUGCAGGACAAUAUAAUGUACACUUUUUGAGCUCACAUUGCUCUUCAAAGAUUUCCUGCGGAGAUGAAAGUAAACUAGAGAAUUUAGUUUUAUUGUGUAUCAUUUUGACCCAUUCAAUUAUAAUCAUUUUUAUUACCGCUCAAACUCUGAUUUACGAAAGGAAGACGUGCGAUUAACAGGCUGUAAUAAAUUCCUCACCCCUCUUUGGUUCCGUACUCUUGAGUUUCUCCCGCUGUAUCUGACCUCAUGCUUUACGCAGUGCGGUCGUCGAGUUGAUAAUCCGUGUCAGUAAUCUCUUUUAACAAUUUAUUUCAGAAAGACAGAUCAAACACACCAUUUCCCCUGACGUGGAGUACAGACCGGUAGGUCAUUCUAUUGUUAUAUGUUAAUUAGCCAUAUGGAUAACUUUUUUUUAACUUGCUGGCUAGCUAGUUGCUUGCUGGCUAGCUAGCGUUCAUGUAAUUUAAGUUCUGUCGGAGUUUCCUUCGCACACAUUUGAUUGUUAACGAUAGCUUGGCGAGAGUGACAUUUAUACUUCAGUUUUCAUACGAGCCUUGAUUUGGUAGCUUGUCGAAUGUUGUUAUCCUGACACUCCAGUUUUGUUUCUUGGCUAUUGGCUAGCCACUUUCGUUUUGCUAAACCAUUUGGAAGAAAAUAUUGCUGACACGUUAGCCAGACAGGCCAGUGACCACAUUCAAGUUGUUACUGACCUAUUCUUCAAUUUUAGCACAUUGCGCUCUGUUCUUGCCGAGAUUAAUUAUUAUAUCUACAUUAAGGAUUUGUAUGUUCUUCUAUCUCGCAAAUAUAGAUCGAGUCCUGUAGUUGAGUUAUAUUUGACUUUUUAUCAGCACACCUUGGUGACGCCAGUCAAUCAGCUACAUCACCUUUCACAUGCUCGUGCAUCAUCAACAAAGACGAAUGGUGAGACUGAUAGUCGGCUUCAUUUUCAAGUCUUGUGUUGGUAAGAAUGGAUUUGGCAAUAUAUUUGUAUGGUCAAACUGUGUGAAAUAUGAUAUUGUGAAACAUUGCACCGUUAAACGUGAGCAGGAGUCUAUUUUAUGGAAUUGAUUGGGAUCAAUGCCAAUUGUCAAUCGAGCACGGCAAAAUGAGAUUGACUUUACAGCACCCAUUUGAGUCAAGACUCAAACUGACAGAUGUAGAGUGUGGUAUAGCAGCUAGAUAAUGCAUUAUCUCGAUAUUAUUAAAAAAACAUAGCUGAUAUCUGCUUCUGUCCCUUGCAGCCCCGUAUUUGCAGUGACUGGUGUUGUUGAGCCACCUUGUGGUGUUUGCACACAGUGUUCCCCCCCUGCCUCCCUCUCUCUGUUUCUCCAUCUACUCUGUCGCAUUUUUUUCUCUCACUCUUUCUCAGUUGUUAGGGUGUUUGACACCUGAGGUCUGCCACUAUGCAGCCUGGAGGAGCACACAAUGCUGUGUGUGGCCAGAGCCUGCUGUCCAACUCCCUUAGGGUGUAUCUGAACAACAAGAACAGACUGCAGCCCAUAAUCGGUCAGGAACAACUCUGUGUUUUUGUAAAUGAUACGUCUGUGUUUUAGACCAAUGUGUGUACUUUAGACCUGUGUGUGUGUUUUUAGGUCUGGGCUGUGUGACAGAGUGUGUGACACUCGGCUUGGACUCUGAGGCGGUGUACCUGUGUGAGGUGUGUGUGUGUCGUCUCAGUAAGGCUGAUGUCAGGAGCCACAUCAUGGGGAGUCUCCACCGAUACAACUACAUUAAAGUCCAUCACCCUCACUUUGUGUCAGAGUGGAAGCAGAGUCCUCCUGACCUGUCCAAGCUGGCCCGGCCUCUUAUGGAGAUGGCUCAAAUACUAGAGAAGAGAGAAGGAACCGGGGACGUACAGGUAUGUGUGUGUCUGUGCAUGCUGGGGUGAUGUUUGUGUGUGCGUGCAAAUCUCCUCUGUCCUGUCUUUCUGUUAGGUGCUGAAGUUGGAUGCUGCCAUGUAUGACGAUAUGACAACACACAGCGAGAGUGAUGCUCUCAUCCUCUUGCAUGCCACCAGGACUGGGAGGGAGCAGAGAGAUCUUCAGAGCCAAUCAGUGAAGCAAUCAGUCCAGUCGGAGUAUCUUACCAUCCAGUCACAGAGAACUGUGAUAUCGCCUCGGAGGCUCUCCGUCCAACCAGAGAGGCCUGUUGUCCAGCUUGACAACCGAACCGUCCUAUGGAGGAGUCCGACCACCCAGAGUCGGAACUCAUCUAGCCAAUCGGAGAAGUCCCCUGUGUUGCAGCAGAGUGUCUCUAUCCAAUCACGGCUUAGUUCGUUGGAGGAGGAGUUUCUCCAUGGAAGCAAGCCACUGGUUGGUGCUUCACUGAAGCGUCCUGCCUCAUCAUGGCAGCAUGACCCCUCUCUUUCCCCGACCCCAAAUGUCACAGCUGGAAGUCAGACGUCUCUGGGCGGGCCUGAGGGGAAGGGGGCGGGACUGCAGGGGGUUCCUGCAAAGCUGAUUCGCUGUGAGCCGGUGUUCAAGGUCAGUCUAUCUAUGACGGACGGCCCCUGGCUGUUGGAGAGGAACUCCUUCAGCCUGGAAACCUCCCCCUCCUCCCUCAGACACGCCUCACCCCUUCACUCCCCCACCGUAGAUGCCUCACUCCAACCCUCUCCCGAUCCCUCACGUUUGCUUGGCCAGCCGGGAAACUCAGUUGCCGCAAGACUCGGAAACACACAUGAAAAUACACACACUCCGGGACUGAGACGCACUCCGGGACAUGCACACACUUCAACUAUGAGACUGAGCCCAGCCAUACCUGAUGAGCAGCUGACUAUGGGAGACGAGGACACAGAGAAAGACCGUCUGUAUCUCGGAGGGGAACAGAGGUUCACCGACUAUGCUUUGUACGAUGGCAGAGAGAAAAACACAACUGACCUGGUUUACCUCAGGAGAGAGCAGGACCGAACUGACCAUCUGUAUUCAGAAAAUAACCGACUCACUGACACAAAGUUCCAUGUCCGAGUGGGGCAGAACAACCGACAAGGCAGUAUUUACCCCGGUCUAGCCUGUGCCAGAGACAUCACUGACACAGCGUCUGUUGCCGGGCCGAUUCUCUUCACUACCGGCUGUCUCUUGAAGGAGAGCUUGACAGACACUCCUCUAAUGGAAGAAGAACAGGAGGAGGAGAGGGGGAAUGAGUGUCAUUCUGGGGCACAGAGGCUUGCAGAGGAUGACAGGACAACUGACAGUCUGUACUCUACUGGAGAGAGGAUAACAGACAGUGGGUUUUCCACAGGAAGCAGGUCAAAUGACAAAAUGUACCAAACAGGAGAACGAUCAACUGACAAUCAGUCUUUUACAACAGAAGUGACAACUGACUGUUGGUAUGCUACAGGAGAGGAGCUAACUGACCGUCAGUUGAUGGAGGAAGAGGAGCGAUGCAGAGCUGAAAUUCAGAAUGGAGUUGGGCUCAUCGUGGAGGUCAUGGUGGAGGAGGGGGAGAGAGAGGAAGGAAAGGAUGGAGAGAGGGAGGAGAACUCAGACUUUUACCACCAACAGUAUUUGCAAGGCCAGCCUCUACAACGGCACCAGGCGCAGGGGUUCACAGGAACUCAUAGGGGCGCCGUAGGGCUUCAUAUGGUUGACACAGCAGAUCUCAGACAUGACAUAGCCCUUCAUAGAGAUCAGGCAGGGCCAGCCCUUCACCGAGAAGAGAUGAGCAGUCGUAUGGGUGACAUAGCAGCUAUGCAGCAGGUGCAGUUAUGUGAGGCUGAGUACAGAGAAGCAUGGGCCUAUGGAGGCACACAGCUGACCCCUGACACCUAUAGAUCAGGUCCGCAGGAGUAUGAGACUGACCCUGGCUCCUACCUGCCAUUCCCAGAGGGCCACAGAAUAAACUGUGACCCCCACCAAGUGGUUUCUGAUUGGUUUAGAACCACCCCUGGCCCGCACUUCGUUCACUCUAACCCUGACGAGUUUACACCCCAGGUCCUCCCGUACCCCCACAAUACAAUGCCCCAGGGGUUUGGACCCAAUCCCCACUCUGGUCCCUUCCCCAUGAAGAUGAGGGGCGUGCAGUCACAGGAGUACAGAAGGCUCCCCAGCCCCCCAUUUGUUAUGGUGUCUAGACCCUGCCACCCUCAGCCCUUCUUUCCAGGACAUGAAGGCUUUCUGUCCCCCCGGCACAGCCCAGCCUUACCUCCCAGCCCUCCCCACUACAGAGGAGCCUACUUGGGCCACAGCCCUGCCCGGAGUCCCUGGGCAGGACCAGGACCUCCCUGGGUCUAAUUACCACACACCAUACAUAAAUCCACCAGGAUAGUUAUUUGUGGCACUUUAGACACUGUUGUUUUAAAUGGACAGGUGUUUUGUGUGUUUUAUACACUCUAGGUUCUAUUGUUUUUAUAGCUGUCUUAAACCAACAGUAUCCCAUCCAUUGUAUAAGUGCUGAUUUUAGGUACUUCCCCUGUAUGAUGUCAUGAAAUCUCAUUGACAACUGGCAACGAUUCAACUCACCGGUUCAAUUCUGUUACCAAUUCAGAUUUAUACAAGACUUGUUUGUUUUAAGUUGUUUGUCUUCUACCGUCGAAUCAAGAUGGAGCUGAGAUGGAUAAAUAGACAACACGUUGAACACUGGCUAAAUUUUAUAAUAUGAACUCAGUUUGUGAAAUAUCUAUUUUUCAACAACAAAUAUUUUGGUUAAUGCAAAAAAAAAUCUAUGGUUAUAUUAACAUUAAGGUUUAUUUUACACAAUAAGGGGGAUCAAUUAGGGGUUCAACAUUGACCUUUCCAGAACUGUCUAGAAGGAGGCGCUGUAUUAGUUUUCAGUUCGACCAGCUGAGGGAAGCAGAGCUGAAUAAGUUGUUUAAAAUGAUGUUCAGAAACACAACACUUGUUAAAAUAAACAGUUUUAUGUUUAAAUGCUUUUUAUAUUUGCCAUGUGUGCUUCCCUCAUGAAGUUGGGUUUAUUUCAGUGUAACAACAGCUUUGGCCAGUGUUAUACUUUGACUUUGGUUCACACACCUUUACAUUGGCUUAACUGAGUAGAUCUGAUUCCAUUUGUUGAAUUAUUAGUGUUAAUUUGAAGAUUAUUCCCCCAAAAUGUUUAUGUGCAGCAGGUACGACAGACUUGGAUUCGCCUCUUCCUAUAGGCAGACUACGCGCUGCCCUUUUCUUUUUCAAGGAACUGUUGGGUCUCAACUCACUUUUGAAAAGUAGAAUACACCAGGUGCAAUUUUGACAUUUUGUUGUGUAUCAGUAGUUUCCCACUUAUGACAGUCGCUCAAUGAGACCAUGUCAGCAAAACAUUUUAAGAUUGCUAGGUAAGGUAGUUGAGCCAGGGCCCUGACCUCCAGGGGGGCCUCCAUUGGUUUUGUAAUUUUGUCACUCUUUCACAGACACUCAUAUAUAUAUAUAUAUAUAUAUACACACACACACAAGUAUAUGUGGAUUUGUCUAUUUCAGCCACACCUGUUGCUGACAGGUGUUUAAAAUCGAGCACACAGCCAUUCAAUCUCCAUAGACAAACAUUCGCAGUAGAAUGGCCUUACUGAAGAGCUCAGUUACUUUCAACGGGGCACUGUCAUAGGGUUCCACAUUCUCCAACAAGUCAGUUUGUCUAGAGCUACUCGGUCAAUUGUUAUUGUGAAGUGGAAACGUCUUGGAGAAACAACAGCUCGGCUGCGAAGUGGUAGGCCACACAAGCUCACAGAACGGGACCGCCGAGUGCUGUAGAGCACAAAGAUUGUCUGUCCCCUGUUGCAACACUCACUACAGAGUUCCAAACUGGAGGAGGAGGGGGGGUUCUAAAAGGCUAGAGGCAGCACUGGAAAGGCUACUCAGCAAGUGGCAUUGAACUUUAUUUUUUUGGUCAGUUUUGUCUCCCCCACUGCCCAAUGUCAAUUUGUGGGCAUGAUACAACUUGUCAAGCAGGUCUAUAAUAUGGUUAAUGUAGCACAGCUGGAUUCAAGUUGUUUUUUUUAACCUGUUUUUCCAUUGAGUCAAUGCUGUAUUCAAGCGUCUCAUACUAGUUUAUUUUUUUAUUUGCUGCUGUAUUUGAGUACAUUAUGGCCUUCAGGCUAAUAAAGUCACAGUAUCCAUUGAUCUCCUGCUCCAGUCAUCUCCAGCCAUGCAGUGGCUCCCAAUUUAUUAUUUUUUACCAAAGACAAACCAAAUCUUACAUGAGGUCAUUGUCAUUUUGUAGUAAUGCCUGUUUUUUGAUCUUAUGAAUUUCUGACCUUGGAAAACCCUUAGAGGGUUGCGAAACAAAACACUGAUCUACUAAUAUCUUCCAUAACAUUAUCCAGCUGUCAUGUGAAGGCUUGAGAAGGAAGUACUGCACACACCUCAACGUUGCAGCAUAAUCUACUUUAUUGAAUCUGGUUGUUCUCAGUAAUGUUAUUUACAUAUUGAAAUAGUGCAAACAAGUAAGGAAGCCAGAUAAAUGAGACAGUCCUCUAGCAAACAAGUAAGGAAGCCAGAUAAAUGAGACAGUCCUCUAGCAAACAAGUAAGGAAGCCAGAUAAAUGAGACAGUCCUCUAGCAAACAAGUAAGGAAGCCAGAUAAAUGAGACAGUCCUCUAGCAAACAAGUAAGGAAGCCAGAUAAAUGAGACAGUCCUCUAGCAAACAAGUAAGGAAGCCAGAUAAAUGAAACAGUCCUCUAGCAAACAAGUAAGGAAGCCAGAUAAAUGAGACAGUCCACUAGCAAACAAGUAAGCUAGAUAAAUGAGACAGUCCUCUACCAAACAAGGAAGCUAGAUAAAUGAGACAGUCCUCUAGCAAACAAGGAAGCCAGAUAAAUGAGACAGUCCACUAGGUGUCACCCUAUUACAAGUUCACUGAACGUGUGUGGAAGACAUUGCAUUUCCAGUCACGAAAACACAGCAAACUAUCAAACCUUUGAAGUCAACAUUUACUAUUUUCAUAUGUAUUACCUUAACCUUGU